CGCGUGAGUGCGCGUAGUCGCGCGCCUGUCCCCGCGCGGGCUCCGUAGCGCGUGUACAGGCUGACGCAGCUCGGGGGCCCUCCUCCUGCUCUGCAGCGGCUCGGCGUAGUUUUGGGCGUUUGGGAGGGGGCGAAGGAGCGAGAGUCGAAAGAGGGAGGCGGCGGCGGCGGCGACGGGGAGGAGGAGGAGGAGGAGGAGGAGCAGGCGCCGCCAUGGCCGCCGCUAUCACCGACAUGGCCGACCUGGAGGAGCUCUCCCGCCUGAGCCCUCUGCCCCCCGGCAGCCCUGGUUCGGCGGCUCGGGACCGGGCUGAGCCCCCCGAGGAGGAGGAGGAAGAGGAGGAGGAGGAAGAGGAGGCGGAGGCCGAGGCGGUGGCGGCGCUGCUGCUGAACGGCGGCAGCGGUGGGGGCGGCGGAGGCGGCGGCGGAGUGGGGGGCGGCGAGGCGGAGACGAUGUCGGAGCCGAGCCCCGAGAGCGCCAGCCAGGCCGGGGAGGACGAGGACGAGGAGGAGGACGACGAGGAGGAGGAGGAUGAGAGCAGCAGCAGCGGCGGGGGUGAGGAGGAGAGUAGCGCCGAGAGCCUGGUGGGCAGCAGCGGCGGGAGUAGCAGCGACGAGACCCGAUCGCUGAGCCCCGGAGCCGCCAGCAGCAGCAGCGGGGAUGGGGACGGCAAAGAGGGCCUGGAGGAGCCCAAGGGACCGCGGGGCAGCCAGGGCGGCGGCGGGGGCGGCAGCAGUAGCAGCAGCGUCGUCUCCAGCGGCGGCGACGAGGGCUACGGGACUGGGGGAGGCGGAAGCAGCGCGACCUCCGGGGGCCGGCGAGGCAGCUUGGAGAUGUCGUCGGAUGGGGAACCGCUGAGCCGCAUGGACUCGGAGGACAGCAUAAGCAGUACUAUAAUGGAUGUAGACAGCACAAUUUCCAGUGGGCGUUCAACUCCAGCAAUGAUGAAUGGACAAGGAAGCACUACUUCUUCAAGCAAAAAUAUUGCCUAUAAUUGUUGUUGGGACCAGUGCCAGGCUUGCUUCAACUCUAGCCCAGAUCUGGCAGAUCACAUCCGUUCCAUACAUGUAGAUGGUCAGCGAGGAGGGGUAUUUGUUUGCUUAUGGAAAGGUUGUAAAGUAUAUAAUACUCCGUCAACCAGUCAAAGCUGGUUACAAAGGCAUAUGCUGACACACAGUGGAGACAAACCUUUCAAGUGUGUUGUUGGUGGCUGCAAUGCCAGCUUUGCUUCUCAGGGAGGGCUAGCUCGCCAUGUACCCACACACUUCAGUCAGCAGAACUCCUCAAAAGUUUCUAGCCAGCCAAAGGCCAAAGAAGAAUCUCCUUCUAAAGCUGGAAUGAACAAAAGGAGGAAAUUAAAGAACAAAAGACGACGCUCAUUACCACGACCACAUGAUUUCUUCGAUGCACAAACACUGGAUGCGAUAAGACAUCGAGCCAUAUGCUUUAACCUCUCAGCUCAUAUAGAAAGUUUAGGGAAGGGACACAGUGUCGUUUUUCAUAGUACUGUAAUAGCUAAGAGAAAAGAAGAUUCUGGGAAGAUAAAACUUUUGCUUCAUUGGAUGCCUGAAGAUAUUCUGCCUGAUGUGUGGGUGAAUGAAAGUGAACGACAUCAGUUAAAAACUAAAGUAGUUCAUUUAUCAAAGCUACCCAAAGAUACUGCCUUGCUUUUGGACCCAAACAUAUACAGAACAAUGCCGCAGAAGAGGUUGAAGAGGUCAGAAUUAUUUUCACGGUACCAAACUGCUGCUCACAGAGUGAGAACAUGAACGUGCACUGUGACACCACUACAAAGUUGUGUCCAGUGUUUCUGCCACAGCCAGUGCCUAGCAUGAUCAUCCAUGGCACAGAAUAGUCUCUAAAUUACUUGUUAAAUGAGUAUCAUAGAAUGCUGCCUGAGGUCCGGCUCUGUGUCUUCACCUUCUUGUUUGCCUGGAGAGAUUCCGGCUACCGGCAACUGAUGGAAUGAAAUGCCUUUGAUUGCUGCUCCAGAGUAUCGGGACAUGCAUUUUGCUGGGCAGUAAACACACUGUUCACAGUUAUGGUCAUUUUUCCAAUGUUGCAAGAAAGACCAUUUAUGAUUUUAGCACCAAAAACCCAAUGAGAUUGUUUUAUUAGCCUUAUUAUAAAAAGACAAAAAAGAAAGAAAAGAGAAAACUAUUACAAAGUAUCAGCGUGUUCAGGUGAAGGAAUAAGAUACUUCUAAUAGUUUUAAAGCUCAAAGCUAAGGAACUGGGGUAUCUAAAUGUAGCUUUAGGACUGCCAUAGGUCGCAUGAGCUUGCUUUCUGUUUGUGAAGGAAAACUUGCCAGUUGAAGAAAUGUGGCACACAUGCUGUAAUAUAACAGGAAAGGAAGGCUUUUUGUGCCAAGAAAUCAUUCACGUGAGCUGAGAUCCUUUUAGCAAAUCUGGUGGCAAGCUCUUUCUAAAAGCCUGCAUGAAGAAGGCGAUAAUCUGAAAUUGUGUUCAUGGAGCCACCUUCAGCCUUUCAUAUGGAGUUUGCAGAGCCCGUCUAAAAGCUCAAAUCCAGCCCUUGCCGUUCUGCUUUUGUGCAGCCAAAUGGUGCACAAAGACCGCUUCUCUGGCUAAUUGGAAUAGCUUCCAGGGGGUGGUGAUGGUUUUCACAUUUAUAGCAAGUUCUAGAUCUGACUAGAGAUGCCGCAGGCCCCCCAAAAUGAGCCGUCAGUACUUCAGGGGUGGAGUUAACCAACUAGUGCCUCUCAGAGUAAUGUUCGAGUUCAGAACUGCAAGGGCGGACAGUUCACGGGGGGGGCACUCCCUGUAACCUUUGUCCUUUAUCACAUUUGGCUCCAUACGUUUUUCUUAAGUAGUGGCCCCAUUUGCAAAUCACGUUUUACUUACGAUAUUUUUAUAUUGCUGGAAACUCAAAAGCUUUCCGCCUUCAACUCCCUGAGCCUGGGUAAAAUUCCACCCUUCUUCAUAUUUGCAAGUCUGUUUCCUCUUUGAAAGGGAAACACACUGUUUUCAUCUCAGCUCUGUGUAUUUGACCUUCCAUAUUACUGAUUAUUUCAGAAAUAAAAAAGGAAUUGCUGCCCCUGCAUUCUUUUCCCAGUUUGAGUCCUUUCUCAGUUAGUGAGGCCCCUUUGACCUUGACCUCUGGAGAGAAUUCAGCAAAGGCAAGAACUGGGCCAAGAAUUAAAUUGGAUCAGACUUCUGAGUAGUGUCCAAAACACUAUACUGGGGCUUCUAUCAUCCUGAAUAAGGACCACAAAAUGACCCCUACAAUUUACUGUCCUCGCCAGCAUAAGCAUGAUAGGAAAUAUGGGGGAUGUUACUACUUUUUUCUUCCUUUUAAAUAAGUAUAAUAAUAUCACAAAAUUACUAUAAUAAUAAUUUUGAGGCAGAGUCUCACGCUGCUGCCCAGUCUGGAGUGCAGUCGCACAAUCUCUGCUCAUUGCAACCGCUGCCUCCUGGGUUCAAGCAAUUCUCCUGCCUCAGCCUCCCAAGCAGAUGGGUUUACAGGUGUACACUACUGUACCUGGCUAAUUUUGGUAUUUUUAGUACAGAUGGGGUUUCACCAUGUUGGCCAGGCUGGUCUUGAACUCGUGACCUUAAAUGAUCCGUCCACCUCGGCCUCCCAAAGUGCUGGGAUUACAGGCUUGAAGCAGCUCACCCCACCCUGCUCUCUUAUGAGGACAUCACUCUUACUAGAUUAUGGGCCUAUCCUAACUGACUAUGACCUCAUCUUUUUUUUUUUUUUUUUUUUUUUUUUUUGAGACAGAGUUUGGCUCUUCUUACCCAGGCUGGAGUGCAAUGGUGCAAUCUCGGCUCACCGCAACCUCCGCCUCCUGGGUUCAGGCAAUUCUCCCGCCUCAGCCUCCUGAGUAGCUGGGAUUACAGGCACGCGCCAUCAUGCCCAGCUAAUUUUUUGUAUUUUUAGUAGAGACGGGGUUUCACCAUGUUGACCAGGAUGGUCUCAAUCUCUUGACCUCGUGAUCCACCCGCCUCGGCCUCCCAAAGUGCUGGGAUUACAGGUGUGAGCCACCGCGCCCGGCCGGCUAUGACCUCAUCUUAUCUUGAUUACUUCUGAUUCAAACUAGGAACGCAACAUAUUGUUUUGGGGGACACACUAGACAGAUACCAACUGAGCAUCAUCUAACUUACUUUGGUAUUUUGUUUGGUGGUACCCUAUGGAGAAAAGUUUUGGCCCACACUGGUAAGUAAUUAAAAAUGGGAGGUUGUUUUUUUUUAAAGAAUGUUUAACCAUGACACUUUGCAAUCUCAAUUUCAAUUUUUUUCAGUUAAAUGGAUCCAGAAGUCUGAAAGAGCAAUAUUAGGUAAUUUAUAGACUGGUGUUAAGUUACUGACAGUGUCUUUGAAAACACUCACCUUCCUUACUGGGGAGUAUUCACUUUUGAAAAGGGGUCAAUGAAUGGACUUCCAAGGAGGCUGAAAUCAUCGUCUUACUUGGCUGGCGCUGUGUGUUCAAAGCCUGAGUUCUUCAAUGGUGACUUAUUUUUUGUGCAUGUGUGGAGACAAGUUCUCAUUUGGUUGCCCAGUCUGGAGGGCAGUGGCACAAUCUUGGCUCACUGCAAUCUCCGCCUCCCGGGUUCAAGCAAUUCUCGUGACUCAGCCUUCCAAAUAGCUGGGAUUACAGACACACGCCACCACACCCUGCUAAUUUUUGUAUUUUUGGUAGAGACGGGGUUUCACUAUGUUGGCCAGUCUGGUCUGAAACUCCUGGCCUCAAGUGAUUAACACACCUCAGCCUCCCAAAAUCCCAAAGUGUUGGGAUUACAGGCGUGAGUCACCGGUUCCAGCCUCAAUGGUGACUUUUGAAAACAUCUCGUUAGUGGCAUGUUCUGUCAGACGUUCCCUCAGGACUUCAAAAGAGGAAUAAUAAUUUUGUUUUUUGAGUGUAAACUUGGUUUCAGUUGUGUUGCCGACACUUUGCUGCUGUUGUGAGCAGUGAUGUGGAAACCACGCACGGCUGAGUGAGCCCAUCGCUUAAUUAAAAAUAGCAUCUUAAAAAAAAAACAGAAGUGGGGAGGAAAAUAGCGUCUAGGUACUUCACCUGGUACACCUAUGUUCUAGAGUUGUUUACUCACUGGAAUUUUUUUUUAAACAAAAACGUUAUUUAUAUUUUUAUUUGAAAUAUCUGUACCAGAACCUUGUCUUGAAACUAUUAAAAACUUCAAUGUUAAAACAUACAUUCUAGAACUGACUAUCCUUAUCAGGACAAAUGAAGAAGAGAAUGAAAUAAUAGCAAUAAUAGUGAAACCAAACCUUAUGAUUUGUAGUUGCUAUAUAAUGAAUUUUGCUGUUGUGUGCUGUUUAAUAUAAACCCUAACCCCAGCUCUGCUUAGCAUUAGCUAACUCCUUGUAAAAGCUACCUUCUCUGUCUCCCCACAUUCUCAGCAGAGCUCCCAGGCAUCUCAAGACUCCUGCUUUUCUUGCUGACCAGUUGCAAGGUCACAGGGCAAGAUCACACCCAAAGAAUAUACAAUGGUUUCUCAAAAUGCUGUUUUUCAAAUGUAACAUACAUCAGAAAACGUGUUACAAAUGAGCUGUUCUUUGUUCUGGCUUCAGGAAACGGAAGCUGCUAAGUCAUCCUGGAUGUAUCGAAAGUACCCCAUUUUCUUUCUCCUUUGCUCAGCCUUGGGGUGCUGAUCCGCCGAGCUGGUGGCCACCUUAAUAAAGUCCUCCUAUUUCACCCACUGGUCUUUCCGGUCUCCUGAAUAUUCUGCCACAUAAAUAACUCUGAAAGGUGCUAAGUUCACAGGCAAUGCCUAAAUUAGACAAUUGCGAAGUUUUACCAAAAGUCUUAAAAUGUUGCAGAGACAACUAUUUAGCACAAAUACAAUGACCAUGAGCUUAUUUUAGCAAUUGCUUUUACCUGAGCAACUCUUUUCACUCCAGAAUAGACUUGAUUACAUUUCAACAAGUUAUUCAAUGGUAUAUUAAAAUGGAAUCUAAACACUUUUUCCCCCAACCAGUUCUAUUUUAAAUAACACUUCUUUAUAGUUCAUUUGUGUGGCAAAAUAUAAAAACAAGCAAAAUACAGAGAUCAGCAAAUCCACAUUUUCAUCCAGGUGAAGUGAAAUUUAAGUUUUAUUUAUUUUUGGAAAAAUUUAAUUUUUAAAGAAAUUCACCAGAUAUGUAUUUUUUGUGUGUGUUUUUAGUAGAGACAGGCUUUCACCAUGUUGAUCAGGCUGGUCUCAAAUUCCUGACCUCAAAUAAUGCACCUGCUUCAGCCUCCCAAAGUGCUGAGAUUAUAAGUGUGAGCCACUGUCCCCAGCAGAUACAUAUUUUGAAUGUGUAUUUUUGGAUUAGAUCAGUGAUACCAGCCAGUAUGAUAUGGUCUCUCAAGGAUAUCUGCAGAUAUGUGGGGGCCAUUUUGGUUGCCUCAGUACCUACAAGUACACUCACGCUUAGUUUUCCAGCUCCAAGGAUGCUGGGUGACUUAUACUUGUCCCACCUUAGAUGCCAACAGGGCUUAAACUUUAUCAGAAAAUAAGAGUAAUUAUGUUUUUGUAAAUGCCUGUUUAUUGAACAUAGCUCAAACUUUCAUAAGCUCUUUUUGAUAGAAUAAAGAGCUUUCAUUUUCACAUUUAAAUUUUGUUCACAUAAAAUUUUUGUCGAUAACACUAAGUAUUUCAAUUAGGCAGGAACAUCUGAGUUCCCUACUUUUGAGCUUACAGUGUUUUGUUUGAAAAUCACGUAAUUUGGCAGGACUAUGGAACUGCUGUGUAAGAUUUCACCUCAUGAAAUACAAGUUGAGCCGUUUCAGUCACACUAAGAAUGAAACUGGGUGACAGAUCAUUCUCACUGUACUUUCUUGGCUUCCAAAGGUUUUCUGUGAAACUUCACAGGGACUUGCUCUCAUAUCAUAUGCUUUUGUUAGAGCAGUGCCAGAGUAACAAUGCCAGAGUAACAAUGCCAGACUGGCACUUUUCAUCAGGAGGUGCAGUUGUGUUUUAUUUAUCAUCAUAUUCCCUCAUUAAGUUUAAUUUUUAAACCGGUGAUUAAUUUCUGCUGAUUAUAUCACUAGAAAAAAAUUUAAAAAUCUAAACAAAAAGUGUCCAAGGCUUACGAUAAGCCUUAAUCUUAAAGAAUUAUCAUGUCAUGUGUUACUUGUCUGCUUGUUGCUGUACAGCCUUCUUAGGCUUUCUGACAAGAGCCGGUGCGAAGCAGAAGCACUCGAACCUCAUCUGGCAUUUGAUGAAUUUGAUUAAUGCGGGCUGUGGUAAGUCGACUCCCCUGCGUAAUUUUAUGAUAGAGGCCAUGUGCAAGUCCAGAAAAAGUGUCACGCAGAAUUACUACCUACUCAAUACUUAACUAUAUGCUAGAGAUGGCUAAAGCAGCUAUAUUUCUGCACAAACAUGAAGAAGGUGGCAUGGAAAUUAACAUGGUGGUGGUCUGCACAGUGUUCAAAGUUGGCGUUUUUAAUGACACUUAAAAAAUAGUUAAAAUAUAUAAUGGCUGAUUUCUGACCAGACUAAACUCUCAGCCUGUCUAAUGUUAGCUUGAUCUAAUCAAUUUCAUCCUUUUCCUCAGUCCAGUCUUGUAAUUGCUAUGUCAGUUUCAGUUUGCGGCAAUACUAGUGCAAAUAUGGCUCCUUCUUAAGAUUUUUCUUCUUUUCCCUCAUGUGGGUCCUGGUUCUAAAUUCCCAAGGGCUGACAUGAUUGACAUUUGCCAUAGCUGAGGAGGGAGCACUUCGUUUUUGUGGUCUUUCCUUGCCAUGGUUCAUUGGGCAGUGAAUGGCAAGUCUGCCUGUGUUUCUGUGCUUCACCCGAAACACCUCAGCAGAAAUGAUAACCUUCGACUUUAGCUGUGUCCUUUUUUACUUAUGUCGGGAGGCCUGUGCCAUACCUUUGAUUAAAAAACCUUUUUUUUUUUUUCUGAGACAGGCUGUUGCUUUGUCACCUGGCUGAAAUGUAGUGCUGCAGCUCACUGCAGUCCCACGUAGCUGGCACUUACAGGGAGGUGCCACCAUGCCUGGCUAAUUUUUGAAUUUUUUGUUGAAACAGGGUCUUGCUGGCCGGGCAUGGUGGUUCAUGCCUGUAAUCCCAGCACUUUGGGAGGCUGAAGCGGGUGGAGCACGAGGUUAGAAGCCUGGUCAACAUGGUGAAAUCACAUCUCCACUAAAAAUAUGAAAGAAAACAAAUCAGCUGGGCAUGGUGGUGUGCACCUGUAAUCCCACCUGCUCCGGAAGCUGAUGCAGAAUUGCUUAAACCCGAGAGGUGGAGGUUGCAGUGAGCCAAGGUCAUGCCACUGGACUCCAGCCUGGGUGACAGAGCAAGACUCUGCCUCAAAAAAAAAAAAACCUCAAUAAAACAAAAAAUCAGGGUCUUGCUGUGUUGCCCAGGCUGGUGGUCUCAAAUUCCUGGGCUCAAGCAAUUAUCCUGCCUCAGCCUCCCAAAGUGUUAGGAUUACAGGUGCGAGCCACUGGACCUGGCCUAAAAAUUUUUUUAAUUUUAAUUUUUGUGGGUACAUGGUAGGUACAUAUGUAUGGGGUGCAUGACAUAGUUCGAUAUAGGUAUACAAUACAUAAUAAUCACAUAAUUUACAUAAUUAUUAUGUAAAUGUAGUAUAUAUCACCUCAAUACAUUUAUCGUUUGUGUUACAAGCAAUCCAGUUAUUCUCUUUAGUUAUUUUACAUGUACAAUUAAAUUAUUGACUGUAGUUACUGUGUUGUGCUCCUAGGCACUAGAUCUUACUCAUUUUUUCUGUUUUCUGUACCUGCUAACCAUUCCCGCUUCCUCCCCAGUCUUUCCCCACUACCCUUCCAGCCGCUGGUGACCAUUAUUUACUCUGUGUCUCCGUGAGUUCCAUUGUUUUAAUUUUUGUCUUCAACAAAUAAGCGAGAAGGCAAAGUUUGUCUUUCUGUGCCUGGCUUAUUUCACUUGACAUAAUGGCCUCCAGUUCCGUCCAUACUGUUGCAAAUGACAGCAUCUCGUUCUUAUUUUAUGGCAGAAUAGUACACCAUUGUGUAUAAGUACCAUAUUUCCUUUUUUUUUUUUUUUUUAGAGAUGGAGUUUCACUCUUGUUACCCAGGCUGGAGUGCAAUGGCGUGAUCACCGCAACCUCCGCCUCCUGGGUUCAGGCAAUUCUCCUGCCUCAGCCUCCUGAGUAGCUGGGAUUACAGGCACGCACCACCAUGCCCAGAUAAUUUUUGUGUAUUUUUAGUAGAGACGGGGUUUCACUAUGUUGACCGGGAUGGUCUCGAUCUCUUGACCUCGUGAUCCACCCACCUCGGCCUCCCAAAGUGCUGGGAUUACAGGUGUGAGCCACCGCGCCCGGCCCAUAUUUUCUUUAUCCAUUCGUCGGUUCACAGACACUUGGGUUGCUUCCAAAUCUUGUGCAUAGUGCUGCAGUAAACAUGCAAAUCCAGGCAUCUCUUUAAUGUACUGAUUUCCCUUUUUUUUUCCUUGAGACAGCAACUUGCUCCGCUGCCCAGGCUGGAGUGCAGUGGUGUGAUCGUGGCUCACUCCGGCCUCAACCUUCUGGGCUCAAGCGAUCCUCUUGCUUCAGCCUCCCAAGUAGAUGGGAUUACAGGUGCACACCACCACACACAGCUAAUUUUUUGUAUGUUUGUGGAGAUGAGGUUUCUCCAUGUAGCUUGGGCUGGUCUCAAACUCCCGAGCUCAAGCAAUUCUCCUGCCUCAGUCUCCUGCAGCGCUGGUGUUACAGCUGUGAGUCACUGCGCCUGAUUUCGACUUCCUUUCCUUUGGAUGUACAAGCAGCAGUGGGAUUGCUGGAUCAUAUGGGAGCUCUGUUUUUAGUUUUUUGAGGAGCCUCCGAACUGUUUUCCACAGUAAUUGUACGAAUUUACCUUCCCACCACCUGCAUGCAAGGGCUCUCAUUUCUCCACAUCUUUACCAGCAUUUGCUAUUGCCUGCCUUUUGGAUAAAAGCCAUUUUAACUGGAGUGAGAUGAUUCUCAUUGUAGUUUUGAGAUGCAUUUUUCUGAUGAUCCGUGAUGUUGAGCACUUUUUCAUAAACCUGUAUGCCCUUUGUAUGUUUUUUUUUUUUUUUUUGAGAAACGUUGACUCGGAUAUUUUGCCUAUUUUUAGUCAGAUUAUUAGAUUUUUUCUUAUAGAGUUGUUAGAGCUCCUUAUAUAUUCUGGUUAUUAAUCCCUUGUCACAUGGGUAGUUUGCAAAUAUUUUCUCCUAUUCUGUGGGUUGUCUCUUCACUUUUUGUUCAUUGUUUCAUUUGCUGUGCAGAAGCUUUUUAACUUGAUGUGAUCCCAUUUCCCCAUUUCUGCUUUGGUUUCCUGUACUUGUGACGUAUUCAGGAAAUCUUUGCCCGAACUGAUGAUGUCCUGGAGAGUUUCCCAAUGUUAUUUCUCUCUUUUUAUUAUUAUUAUACAUCAUAGUAUUUAAAAUAUUUUCUUUUAGUAGUUUCAUCGUUUGAGAUCUUAGAUUUUCAUCUUUAAUCCAUUUUGAUUUGAUUUUUGUAUAUGGAGAAAGAUAGGGGUCUAUUUUCAUUCUUCUGCAUGUAGAAAUCCAGUUUUCCCUGCACCAUUUUUGAGGAGACUGUUCUUUCCCUAGUGUAUGUUCUUGGCAACUUUAUAAAAAAUGAGUUCCCCGUAGAUACAUGGAUUUGUUUUGGGGUUCUCUGUUCUGUUUUGGUUCCUAUCGCUUCUGUAGAAGUCAAGUAAUAUGAUUCUUCCAGUUUUACUCUUUUUGCUUAAAGUUUUCUGGGUAUUUUGUGAUUCCACAUAAAUUUUAGAAUUGUUUUACCUUCUUUUUUCUCUUUUUGAGACAGGGUCUCACUCUGUCACCCAGGCUGGAGUGCAGUGACAUGAUCUCAGCUCACUGCAACCUCUGUCCCCUGGGCUUACGUGAUCCACCCGCCUAUGUCACCAUAGCCAGAUCAUUUUUGUGUUUUUUUAAAAUUUGAGAUGGGGUUUUACCAUGCUUCCCAGGUUGAAAUUCAGGAUUGUUUUUUCUUUUUCGGGGAAGAAUGUCAUUGGUAUUUUGAUAGGCAUUACAGUGAGUCUGUAGACUGCUUGGAUAGAAUGGACUUUUAACAAUAUUGAUUCUUCUAAUCUAUGAACAUGGAAUAUCUUUCCAUUAUUUGAUGUCCUCUUCAAUUUCUUGCAUCGGUGUUUUAUACUUUUCAUUAUAGAGAUCUUUCAUUUUUCGGUUGAUUCCUAAGUAUUUAAUUUUAUUUGUGGCAAUUGUAAAUGGGAUUACUUUCUUGAUUUCUUUUUCAGAUUUCACUGUUGGCAUAUAGAAGUGCUACUGAUUUUGGUAUGUUGAUUUUGUUUCCUGUAACUUUGUUGAACUGAUUUAAUAGUUUUUUGGUGGAGUCUUUAGUGUUUUCCAAGUAUAAAGUCAUAUCAUCUGCAAACAAGGGUAAUUUGACUUCUCCAAUUUGGAUGAUCUUUAUUUAUUUCUCUUGUCUGAUAUCUCCAGUGCUAUGCUGAAUAACAGCGGUGAAAGGGGGCAUCUUUGUCAUGUUCCGUAUCUUAGAGAAAAGACUUUCAGUCUUUCCCCAUUCAGUAUGAUACGAGCUGUGGGUCUGUCAUAGAUGGCUUUUAUUAGGCUGAAUAUGUUCCUUCUAUAUCCAGUUAUUUGAGGGGUUUAUUAUUAAGGUUGUUGAAUUUUAUCAAAUAGUUUUUCAACAUCAAUUGAAAGUAUCAUGGUUUUUGUCUUUCAGUCUGUUGAUAUGAUGUAUCCCAUUGACUGAUUUGUGUACAUCGAACUAUCCUUGAAUCUCUGGAGUAAAUCGCACUUGUUCAUGAUGAAUGGUCUUUUCAGUGUGUUUUGUUGAUUUCAGUAUUUUGUUGAGAAUUUUCACAUCAGUGUUUAUCAGGGAUACUGACCUACAGUUUUCUUUUAAAAUGUGUCAUUGUCUGGUUUUGGGAUCAGGGUAUUACUGACCUUGUAGAAUGAGCUUGGAAGUAUUCCCUUCUCCUUUAUUUUGUGGAAUAGUUUGAGUAGGGUUGAUGUUAGUUCUUCUUCCUCUUCUCUUUUUUUGACUCCCUUUCCUGUCCCCCACCAAUUCCCCUGCCUACUCCGAUGUUAAUUCUUCUUUAAAUGUUUGAUAAAAUUCAGCAGUGAAGGCAUCAGGUCCUGGUCUUUUCUUUGCUAGGAGACCUUUUGUUAUGAAUGGCUUCAGUCCCAUCACUUGUUAAGGUUUGUUUAGGUUUUGGGUUUCCUCAUGGUUUAAUCUUGGUAGGUUGUAAGUAUCUAGGAAUUUACAGUUCUUUUCUAGGUUUUCCAAUUAUUUAUUUUUAAUUAUUUAUUAAAUUUUUUUCGUUCCAGAGGUUCUUGGGGAACUGGUGGUAUUUGAUUACAUGAAUAAAUUAAUUAGUGGUUAUUUGUGAGAUUUUGGUGCACUUAUCACCUGAGCAGUAUACACUGAACCCAAUAUUGGUUAUUUGUGAGAUUUGGUGCACCCAUCACCUGAGCAGUAUACACUGAACCCAAUAUUGGUUAUUUGUGAGACGUUGGUGCACCCAUCACCUGAGCAGUAUACACUGAACCCAAUAUUGGUUAUUUGUGAGACGUUGGUGCACCCAUCACCUGAGCAGUAUACACUGAACCCAAUAUUGGUUAUUUGUGAGAUUUUGGUGCACCCAUCACCUGAGCAGUAUACACUGAACCCAAUAUUGGUUAUUUGUGAGACGCUGGUGCAUCCAUCACCUGAGCAGUAUACACUGAACCCAAUAUUGGUUAUUUGUGAGACUUUGGUGUACCCAUCACCUGAGCAGUAUACACUGAACCCAAUAUUGGUUAUUUGUGAGACGUUGGUGCAUUCAUCACCUGAGCAGUAUACACUGAACCCAAUAUUGGUUAUUUGUGAGAUUUUGGUGCACCCAUCACCCGAGCAGUAUACACUGAACCCAAUAUUGGUUAUUUGUGAGAUUUUGGUGCAUCCAUCACCUGAGCGGUAUACACUGAACCCAAUAUUGGUUAUUUGUGAGACGUUGGUGCACCCAUCACCUGAGCAGUAUACACUGAACCCAAUAUUGGUUAUUUGUGAGACUUUGGUGCACCCAUCAUCUGAGCGGUAUACACUGAACCCAAUAUUGGUUAUUUGUGAGAUUUGGUGCAUCCAUCAUCUGAGAGGUAUACACUGAACCCAAUAUUGGUUAUUUGUGAGAUUUGGUGCACCCAUCAUCUGAGAGGUAUACACUGAACCCAAUAUUGGUUAUUUGUGAGACGCUGGUGCACCCAUCACCUGAGCAGUAUACACUGAACCCAAUAUUGGUUAUUUGUGAGAUUUGGCGCACCCAUCACCUGAGCAGUAUACACUGAACCCAAUAUUGGUUAUUUGUGAGACUUUGGUGCACCCAUCACCUGAGCAGUAUACACUGAACCCAAUAUUGGUUAUUUGUGAGACUUUGGUGCACCCAUCACCUGAGCAGUAUACACUGAACCCAAUAUUGGUUAUUUGUGAGACGUUGGUGCACCCAUCACCUGAGCAGUAUACACUGAACCCAAUAUUGGUUAUUUGUGAGAUUUGGUGCAUCCAUCACCUGAGCAGUAUACACUGAACCCAAUAUUGGUUAUUUGUGAGACUUUGGUGCACCCAUCACCUGAGCAGUAUACACUGAACCCAAUAUUGGUUAUUUGUGAGACGUUGGUGCACCCAUCACCUGAGCAGUAUACACUGAACCCAAUAUUGGUUAUUUGUGAGAUUUGGUGCAUCCAUCACCUGAGCAGUAUACACUGAACCCAAUAUUGGUUAUUUGUGAGACUUUGGUGCACCCAUCAUCUGAGCGGUAUACACUGAACCCAAUAUUGGUUAUUUGUGAGAUUUGGUGCAUCCAUCACCUGAGCAGUAUACACUGAACCCAAUAUUGGUUAUUUGUGAGAUUUGGUGCACCCAUCACCUGAGCAGUAUACACUGAACCCAAUAUUGGUUAUUUGUGAGACUUUGGUGCACCCAUCACCUGAGCAGUAUACACUGAACCCAAUAUUGGUUAUUUGUGAGACUUUGGUGCACCCAUCACCUGAGCAGUAUACACUGAACCCAAUAUUGGUUAUUUGUGAGACGUUGGUGCACCCAUCACCUGAGCAGUAUACACUGAACCCAAUAUUGGUUAUUUGUGAGACGUUGGUGCACCCAUCACCUGAGCAGUAUACACUGAACCCAAUAUUGGUUAUUUGUGAGACGUUGGUGCACCCAUCACCCGAGCAGUAUACACUGAACCCAAUAUUGGUUAUUUGUGAGACGUUGGUGCACCCAUCACCUGAGCAGUAUACACUGAACCCAAUAUUGGUUAUUUGUGAGACGUUGGUGCACCCAUCACCUGAGCAGUAUACACUGAACCCAAUUUGUAGUCUUUGAUUCCUCGCCCACUUUCCACCCUUUACUCCUGAGUCCCCAAAGUCCAUUGUGUCAUUCUUACGCCUUUGCAUCCUCAUAGCUUAGCUCACACUUAAGAGUGAGAACGUACAAUGUUUGGUUUUCCGUUCCUGAGUUACUUCACUUAGAAAAAUAGUCUCCAAUCUAUCCAGGUAGCUGUGAAUGCCACUAAUUCAUUCCUUUUUAUGGCUGAGUAGUAUUCCAUUGUAUAUAUAUACCACAGUUUCUUUAUCCAUGAUAAAAAUGUGUGUUUAAUCUCAGCACUUUGGGAGGCCGAGGCUGGCGGAUCACGAGGUCAAGAGAUUGAGACUAGCCUGGCCAACAUAGUGAAACCCCGUCUCUAUUAAAACACAAAAAUUAGCUGGGUGUGGUGGCGGGCCCCUGUAGUCCCAGCUACAUGGGAGAUUGAGUUAGGAGAAUUGCUUGAAGCCGGGAGGCAGAGGUUACAGUGAGCUGAGAUUGCACCACUGCACUCCAGCCUGGCGCCUGGCAAAAGAGCAAGACACUGUCUCAAAAAAAAAAAAAAAAAAAAAGAAAGAAA